GACGAACGCUGGCGGCGUGCUUAACACAUGCAAGUCGAGCGGUAAGGCCCUUUCGGGGGUACACGAGCGGCGAACUGGUGAGUAACACGUGGGUGACCUGCCCUCAGCUCUGGGAUAAGCCUGGGAAACUGGGUCUAAUACCGGNUAUGACUCCAUGACGCAUGUUGUGGGGUGGAAAGCCUUGUGCGGCUGAGGAUGGGCCCGCGGCCUAUCAGCUUGUUGGNGGGUGAUGGCCUACCAAGGCGACGACGGGUAGCCGGCCUGAGAGGGCGACCGGCCACACUGGGACUGAGACACGGCCCAGACUCCUACGGGAGGCAGCAGUGGGGAAUCUU
rnacentral:rRNA from 1 species